AACCCUCUCAUGCGAUUGCGAGAUCAGAGUCGUUUCUCUGACAAAAAUCCCUACCAGUUUUGGCGACCACGAAGGGAUCUUAUGCUCAGGAUUGGACAGACCAGACAGACUCUCCGGGAAUCAGGUGGCCAAGUGCGCUCAAAGGAAAACUCUGGAAUUGAACACCCACCAGCAAGACACCAUCAUCUGCCAAGCAGUACCCUUAGAUGGUCAAGCCAGCGGUCGUGGACGGUUCUCUGAGCAAGUGACCUGCGGAUGGUGGAACUGACCCCAUGGAGAAUCAACAACCUCACACUCCAAUUCCUGCUCUACGGUCUGGAUGGACGAUCUAGUGAGACUCAGGAGGCCUUUGGCCACCAUUAUCUGCGGUGGUUAGCACACCUAGGAUCAAAGUGGGGAUUGUACUGGAGGAUAUACCAUCCUGUCUCUGAUCUGUCUCCUUCCCAUAUUGUGCUAGACAUCCUGUCUCCAUGCAAUCUCCUUCCUGUCGAAGAUCAAUCAGUUGAAUUUGGGUAACAAUGUGUCAAUUACAUUACCACUACUAAGAACUGGCUCUGAAUGGAAGGUGGAGUUCUGGCCAAUGCAAGGGGGUUGGGUGGAAUUUGGGGUGCCCACUGGAAGAGUUACGGUGGAGUGGGAUGCAGAAAUGCUUGCAAAUAAAGAUACCAAGGUACCGGG